GUUUAAACAACAACCUCACAUUUAAUCACAUUCAAAUGGAUUCAAAUGGAGAGUAGUUUUCUAGAAAUGUUGAUACGCAUAAUGAUGAUUUACCAUUUAUGAGUUAUAAUAGUUUUAAGUUUUGAUUGGAGGAGUAGGGAAGGGCAAUAAAUUCUAUGUAUAUUUUUAAAUAACACAUCGAUAACUUAAAAAAAUUAAAUUCGCUU